UGAGGAAUUUUCUGCAAUGGGCGACAGUGCACAGAGCAAUACCGCGUGAGGGAUGAAGGCCUACGGGUUGUAAACCUCUUUUCUCAAGGAGGAAGAUCUGACGUUACUUGAGGAAUAAGCAUCGGCUAACCCCGUG
rnacentral:rRNA from 1 species